UCCCGUCCUGCUGUAAAUGCCGGCUCCUCCCGAAACCCUGUCCCCAGGUGCACACAUCUUUUAAAUCCCUCCGGGGCUGGUGACUCCAGCACUGGCCUGGGCAGCUUGUUCAGUGCUUGCCGAUCCUUUGGGUGGGGCAGUUCCCUGUCUGAGCUCCGCAGAGCGGCCUGAGGCUGUUCGCUCUGUUCCGCCCCUUCCCGUGCCGGUCUGUGCUCCAGGGCAGCGGGACAGCUCCGGUCAGUGCCUCCUCGGGCACUUGGCUUUACACUCCGUGUCAGACAGAGGGGUGCAUCAGCUGAACACAACAAAUGAGUUCACUCCAUUAUCACAGCGCUGUUGGUGAAUACUGUCACACGUAGAGUAGUUUGGGUCGAAAGGGACCUUUAAAAUCAUCUCGUUUCAGCCCUCCCCUGCCUGGACAGGGACACUUCACCACACCAGGUUGCUCCAAGCUGACCUUGAGCCUCUCUGGGGAUGGGGCAGCCACAACCUCUCUGAGCAACCCGUGCCGGUGUUUUACCCCCCUCACUGUGACAAACUUCCUAAUGUUUGAGGCAGUGAAUGGAUCAGAAAGGCUAAGCCAAUGAUCUUCAGAGAAGGUGUAGAUCCUUGCACAACACAUUUAAUCCCUUUAUGACUGUCACGGUUUUCUUGCUAGCUUACUAUCCUGAGGUUUCAAUGCUGGACAACUUAGAAAGAUUAACAAAAUUGUUUUUUGCAUGGACAGCUGGGCUACGUGUUAUCAUCAGGCAGUUUUGACAGUAAUUCACAUGAAACUUGGCUCUUUUCUGUUUGCUUUUUAACACAAAAUGUAUUACUCAAAGAGUUAUUUAGCUCAUCCGAAACGUCUAAAGACCAAAUACUAUCCAUUUUUGUUCAAAUAGCACCACUCAGUGUUCAGUUCGGUAAGUGACACUUCCCUACACAUAGCUCUGCUGUCAGCAAUGCUGAAACUGUGUAAUUAAAGAAACUUUGUUCAUCUUAGCCGAAUGUUAAAAGCCAAACCCUUUUUCUUGUUUCAGAACUAAACCACUUAAAUCAAUAUUCAGUAAUACAUCAUUGUUAUAAAAUCAUCUAUUAUAGUUCCCCGUGUCAUUAAGAGCAGGUGCACUGUCUUCCUGUAGAAUGUAGGUAAUAUAUAGAAUUCACAGCAAGCUUCCAAAGUUUUGUAACAUUAUGCACUGGCUGUACUUAUGUACUUAACACAUACUGAUACAGAGAGAAGUAUUUGUACUAAAAUGUAACUGUGUACAGAAAUAUCUCCAAGCAUCUCUUAGCAGGAUUGUGCUGAGAAUCCUUGUUACCUGGAAGGGUUUAAUUUCUGAUUACAUAGUAUUUCCUGUAAACAAACAAAAAGAGCUGCCUCUAAAGAUGUUUGAAAAUUGAACAUCUUCCCUGCAGGAGAGGUUACAGGAGUUCAGCUCAGUUUCCUUAUGUGCAGAUAAAAUCUGUGUUUACUUCUAACAGUUGUUUGCUUUAUUAAAUGGUGUGAAGAAAAGCUGUGCUUGUGAAAGAAUUGAUCUAAGUUUUGUGUGUCAAGUUAUGCCAGAAUACAAAUUGAUCAGAAUUAAA